CUGCCCUCUAGCCCGCCCACCCUUCCGUUCAUUGGUUCUUUACGCGGAGACCCUGUGCGCAGGCGCAGCUUGAAGUACAGCUGGGACACCCAUCCCGGAAGAGGAAGAGAAACCAGUGCUUUGUGGAAAAAUGGAGGAUUCAAGGCUGAGGCAGGAUGAGUUUGGACUAUUAUUAUCCUAGAAGGCUACAAGAGUUCUGUCAGAAGGACUCAGGAGCUUAUCUGAAGAGCUUCCUGCUGGCUAAAGAAGGGACAGCAAAAGACUUGAGGGGCAUAACAGCCUGUAAUGGAAACUGAAACUACUCUUUAAGCAGUAUCAACCACCUGGACCAGGAGCUCUGGUAACCCAGACCACCCAGACCAGUUUGACUUUCACCCCGACUCACACCUGUGGAGAUGAACCAUCCAGGACCACGGAGUGACCAACAGUCCCUUACCUCAUUAUAAUACUAAAAUCUCCGCCCAAGGAGGAGCACAGCCUCACUUACAUAACAUAGUUACAGUGUCUGUGUAUUUCCUUGAAGGCACCUGUCCCUGCCUUUACAUAUAAUGACAAGACUCCCCUUUUUAAAUAUUCAUCCUAACCCUAAAUAAAAGGAGGCCAUGCUCUAGGAGUCAGAGCUUGGAGGUCAUUCCCUGUGAUCUCCAAGUAAGUUUACUUUGUGUGACAAUUCCUCCUUGGGUAGUUUCUACGUGUGACUCACCAAGGUCCAAACUCACCGUUUGGUUACAACUUGAUUUUUGUUAAGUUAUGAUACACCUAUAUGAAUCCCUGUUUCACACUUUUUUUCUUUUUGAUAGUGCGUUUUUAAUUAUAAAAAUUAUUCAUGUUCAUGGAAAAUGAGUAUACGCAACACGAUAAAGGGGGGAGCUCUCAGAAUUCUCCUACAGAGGGGUAAAUACUGGAAGUUUGGUGGGAAACUUUCAAUAUUUUUUCUUUGCCUACAUGUGAAUAUAUAAUUGUGUUAAUAUUAGAAUCAUAACAUAUAUACCUUUACUUGCUUAAAUUGUAAAUAUUUUAAUUCAACUUUUUAUUGACUGUCUUAAAGAUGUACUAUAAUUUAUUUUAUUAAUUGGCUAUUCUUUCACAUAUUAUAAAUAUAUACAUACAUUUAAGACUUUUGCCUAUUUUUCUAAAUCACCUUCUUCAAAUUUUCAUCCAUAACUCAUAUAUAAGUAGUAUUAAGAAAUGCCUAUUGCUGCAUACUAUCAUCCUUUAAAGAAUGUAUGCCUUUCUGAUAGAUAAAAAUGACUAUCUUUGGUUGCUAUAAUUUGCUUUCCAUUGAUUAAUAGUAACAUUAGGGGCGCCUGGGUGGCUCAGUGGGUUAGGCCUCUGCCUUCGGCUCAGGUCAUGAUCCCAGGGGCCCAGGAUCGAGUCCCGCAUGGGGCUCUCUGCUCAGCAGGGAGCCUGCUUCUCCUCAUCUCUCUCUCUGUCUCUCUGCCUAUUUGUGAUCUCUCUCUCUGUCAAAUAAAUAAAUAAAAUAAAAUAAAAAAUAGUAACAUUAAGCGUGUUUUCAUUUGUCUCUUUGCAUUUAAAUUUCUUAAUUUUGUAUAUUUCAUGAUUGUGACUUUUCCAUAUGUUUCUAUUCUUCUUUUUUUUAAAAAAGAUUUUAUUUAUUUAUUUGACAGCGAGAGAUCACAAGUAGGCAGAGAGGGAGGCAGAGUGUGUGUGUGGGGGGGGCAGGCUGGAGCUGAGCAGACAGCCUGAUGUGGGGCUUGAUCCCAGGACCCUGGGAUCAUGACCUGAGCUGAAGCCAGAGGCUUUAACCCAGGAGCCCCUAUAUGUUUCAUUCUUUAAAAAUAUUUACCUUAUUGGCUUGUAGGAGGUCUUUAUGUGUUAAGAAAAAUUAAACUUUACACUGAAAAAAUAAAAUUAAGUAAAAAAAUUUAAAAAAGUUAA